rnacentral:rRNA from 1 species
GGCCAGACUCCUACGGGAGGCAGCAGUGGGGAAUAUUGCACAAUGGGCGAAAGCCUGAUGCAGCAACGCCGCGUGAAGGAAGAAGGGUUUCGGCUCGUAAACUUCUAUCAACAGGGACGAAAGAAAUGACGGUACCUGAAUAAGAAGCCCCGGCUAACUACGUGCCAGCAGCCGCGGUAAUACGUAGGUGGCGAGCGUUGUCCGGAAUUACUGGGUGUAAAGGGAGCGUAGGCGGGAUAUUAAGUUGAAUGUAUAAACUACCGGCUUAACCGAUAGAAGCGUUCAAAACUGAUAUUCUUGAGUGAAGUAGAGGCAGGCGGAAUUCCUGGUGUAGCGGUGAAAUGCGUAGAUAUUAGGAGGAACACCGGUGGCGAAGGCGGCCUGCUGGGCUUUAACUGACGCUGAGGCUCGAAAGCGUGGGUAGCAAACAGGAUUAGAUACCCUCGUAUCA